GCGUUUUCUGGAACAGGCGAGAAGAAAGAGGCAUUAAAGCACCACAUAUUCUGAAGGCAUUGCGUCGAGGCCUUCCCCAGCUAAUGACUUUAUCGUAAUACACACAUGGCCUGGAGAAUGAAUAUGGUAACAUCAAGAAAAGAAAGCUGGCAAAGAAAGAGUUAGUGGAACUGGAACUGGAACUGGGCAUCACAACGUUGAAAAGGAACUACGAAGAAGUCCCCCAUAAUGAUUGGAUUAUCAACCGGCAAGUGGCCCGCUCCUGAUCAGCUAGAUCAUUGAAUAACAGAUUAUGUAUGUGUGACUAAAAAGUACUACGUCCGUAUAACACUUCAGGAAAAUGUGUCUUGUUCAACGAUAAAAGUAGGAACUGAGGAAAGAGGUGAAUGACCGACUUCUUGGCGUAUUUCCUGAAGGGACCUUCAAGGAGUUUACACUUGUUUGAGGUAAAGCGUUGUCCUUGAGAGUUAUUUGACCUUCAACAGAUGUGUUGCAUAUAGCACUAAUAGAAAAAUGAACACCUGGUGUUGUGAAUGGGGCUAAUAUACCCAGCGAGAUACGGAACUCCAGUCCUUUGCGUUAGAUUUGAAGUAGUAUCAUUUAAAGCUGAUUUUUAGUAGGUUUCUUUUUCAAAAGCAACGUUGAACUUGCAAUUCCAGCCUUGCUGACUGAUCUCUCCAAUGGGACUUGGAUGGUUUAAAGAUAAGAAGUAUGCCAGAAAAUAAACAUGGGGAAAAACAAGAAUGUUUUGGUCCGUCUCGAAUGGCCCCUUUUUGGAAGACCCGAGUUUUCGACAAUUUACGUCUCCGACAAAGGCUGUUUAUUUUUUUGAGUGGGAAAGGCCUUCUUGGAAUAAUUCAACUCGAUUCCACUAAAGCGUUGCUGUAUAUGUAAGUCAAUAGACAGUAUUCCUUAAUCUGAGAUCACUUCUAUAUUAGCAUAAGAUGGUUCAAAAGAAUCCGAAAAGACAAAAAUGUUUCACUUGUACACAAACGGGUUCAAUUGAAAAAAAACCGUCAGUUAACACCUAAAAUAUUACACCGCUCAAAAAUUUGCGAGACGUUUGAACAAAUCGAUAUCAUGUUUCAGAUUGUCCACUGUGCAAUAUUUGUUUUUUAUCCAAGCUAUGACGUGCACUAGGAAGUGCUUAUUCAGAACCAGAGGAACACAUGUUUGUAAAGGAUUUCGAUAAACUGGUAACUAAACACCACCUGUAGCUUUUAGCUUAUGAUUAAUCUAAAUUCAAGCAUGGUAAGAACAUCCUUGAAAAUUGAUUUCACAGAUUGACAGGAACGUAUAACACCCCAUAAGCAUUUUGUGAAAAAUGGUUAGCCAAAGGAGCAAUAAACACUUUGCGACUCAUAAUCAUUAUGUAACGUUAGUCCAGCUUAAAUAAGUUCUCUUGUUCUUUGAUAUGAAACAUUAUUGCAAAAUUUCGAUUCCAUUGGAUUUUCCAUUGUAUUUUUGAUAUUUCUAUUUUGUAUUAGUCUGUACGAGUUUUAUGCGACUUAAUUUCCUUCAAUUGGUGAUUUUUGGCAUCUAUUCUGAGUUUUAGUUCUUUGAUAACUUGUUCUUUAAGACACCUAUCAGUGUCAAGUGGCUCUUGGAGGGUUUGGACUUUUUUUGCUCCCUAUUAUUGAUCAGUUCAUAUCUCAACACACUUUGAGGAGUUGGUGUAGCCGAGCGGUCUUAGAGGCAGUGUCACCAAGGUAAGAAAACGCUCCCUAGGACUCGUGGGUUCAACCCCUGGCGCCGGAGGUUAGUCUUUUUAAGCAGCUGGUGUAGCCGAGCGGUCUAAGAGGCAGCGUGAACAAGGCAAGAAUCCUUUCCCCAGGCGUCGUGGGUUCAAACCCCGGCGCUGGAAGUAACCCUAUUCAGGGAGGAGACAUGGUGUAGUGGUUAGCGCAGCUUCCUUACAUGGGAAGAGAUCACCGGUUCGAUUCUCCUCCCCGACCUUUCUCAAGGAAACUUUUAGACGCUAGCCACACCCACAGACGGAGAACCAAUAUGAUACCGGAUUUGAAACUGCCUAUCGGAAUUUGGACUUGGAUGAUGCAAUGGCUGGCUUCACUGGCCGGGCGAGGUGCACCCUCCGACCCUAGCACCCCCCCAAGCAAAAAAAAGGUUAAGCAGAAUUAUGGUUAUUCCCGCUCCUCGUCAAGCGUAAUAAAUAUUACCUUGCACGCGGCAAUAACCGCCCAUUGAGGCGUUUAAAAACUGUUAUCAUUAAUUCGAAUUGGUACCGUGACAUGGAUUCGAACCAUCGAACCCUGGAAUAAUGCUACCACCUGAAUAAUUCCAAACCUGCAUGAACAGUGUGAGAAUCCUCUUAUGUAUCACAUAUGCCAAGUGGUACAAAAUUGUAUUAGAAAUAUAUUCUCAAUAAUUUGCGUUUUUACUGUAAUGCCUUCAGUAUGUCCUGAAGUUGAAGGUUAUGUUGUUGUUUGGGCAGCCACAUUUUGCAAAUUCUGUGAGUUUGAAUUUCUUGGAAGUGCUUAUCAGAACCAUGUUUGACAAUGUGUAAAAAUUGUUGAUCCUGAAUGUCACUUAAAUUGGUGCAUUGAGCAGGAAAUGCAAUAGUGUUACAAAUAUGUGUGUUAAUUAACCAUUUAUAAUGCGUCAUUCCUUUUUGCCAAUCAAAACAAAUCGAUAUUUCAUGUUGAUUGACUUGCUGAUUGUAUACAAUUUUCCAAUGAAUCUAGGAUGAAUUAGAGACUUCACUUGUCCACUCGUAUUGUAAUGCAGAAUGACCAUUGAAUAAAAUUCUGGCAACUCGGCCUCAUCCCUUCCCGGCAAAGCUCAUUCAAAAAACAAGAUUUGCACAAAAGUGUUUAAAAACCUUGCAAUGUUGCCAAGAAAAUACCUCAUUAACUUUUAAUACAAAAGAUUUCAGAGCCUUCUCGCUUAAAUUGGCUUUUUUAUCUUUAUUGCACUCGCACUGGUGUCAUAGUUCGGGAUUCAUCUCGUUGAAAAAAAGGCAAGCGGUCCAUUUCCCUCAUUUCAAAUGAGAGUUGCUCCAAAAAUAGCCUUCCAUGGCCCAUUCGAAAAGUCCAGCUCAAGGCCCCUCCCUCUCAAAUGCUUCAGGCCACACCUCCUUACACAUUGCAGAAACUUUGUUCAUUGAACGAGGACGUGCCCUGGAAUCUGAUUCAAACAAAGUUUCUCAUUUCGAUUUUGACGCAGUCCGCCGCUGGAUCCACGAUUUUCGGAAAAGAGCAAGAAAAACCGUGGAACGGAAAGGCACUAGCACAUUGACAUGAUAGAGGAGCACAAAAAGGCCGAAGAAAAGCAAAUGGCCAUAAUGACUAGCUGUGCACCUCAGCCAAGAAAAAGACAUUACAUCCCGUAUUUCCAACCAAUUUUUCAAGAAACGAGCUCCUUGGUACACUAACUUCAACUUUGGGACCAGAUUCUGUACCAAAGCUCGUUCCUGGGAUUCUGCCAUGGUUCCAAGAACUGGAAGAUAAGAGGAUAAGAGAAACCGAUCAAUGACAAUGUCGCACGAUUGUUCAUGAUCAUCGCUGACGAUGUACUCGGUGAGCAAGAGACAGAAAAAGCUUAGACGGAGACACGCAUCAUAUUUUUGUCCAACAACUCCUCCAUCGUGUCUCCAUUAGAGCAUCAAGUCCGUCA